GAAUUUACCCUAAGUCGGUUAAUGAAUGACUUUCAUAAUGUUCAAACUUAAUAUUCAUCUUUUGAAAUCAUUUUGACUUCAACUUGGCGACAGUGAACAUGUUCGGAAGGUGAAGAUGAGGUUUAAAAAUCAUUUAUCGAAAAUCGAGACUAUUGAUCAAAAAAUUAAUUAAAAAAUAAUAAGAAAUAAUAAUAAGAAAUGUAACAAAAAUCUUACAAUGUGAUUUCGUCUCUUAGUUUCUACAGAUAUUUAUUAUAGAAAGAUCAUCAGAACUUGGUAGUACAAUAGUUUUGAGUAAUCGGAGAAUAUAAAAAAGGAAGAAGAAGAAGAAAUAAAAUUGUAUGUUCCUGCUUCAAAAAAAUCGUUGUAAAAUGGUGAGAAGAUAAUCUAUUAAAGCAGUAUCAUCUCAUUUAUUCUUUCAACAAGAAAAUAAUUGUACAUAUAGUAAAUAAAAGUUUUUAAACGUA